UGAGUUUGAUCAUGGCUCAGAUUGAACGCUGGCGGCAGGCCUAACACAUGCAAGUCGAGCGGUAACAGGACUAGCUUGCUAGUUGCUGACGAGCGGCGGACGGGUGCGUAACACGUAGGAAUCUGCCCGGUAGUGGGGGAUAGCCCGGAGAAAUCCGGAUUAAUACCGCAUACGCCUUACGAGGGAAAGGAGGGGACUCUUCGGAGCCUUUCGCUAUCGGAUGAGCCUGCGUCGGAUUAGCUAGUUGGUGGGGUAAAGGCCUACCAAGGCGACGAUCCGUAGCUGGUCUGAGAGGAUGAUCAGCCACACUGGGACUGAGACACGGCCCAGACUCCUACGGGAGGCAGCAGUGGGGAAUAUUGCACAAUGGGGGAAACCCUGAUGCAGCCAUGCCGCGUGUGUGAAGAAGGCUCUAGGGUUGUAAAGCACUUUCAGCGAGGAGGAAAGGUUGCUGGUUAAUACCCAGCGGCUGUGACGUUACUCGCAGAAGAAGCACCGGCUAACUCCGUGCCAGCAGCCGCGGUAAUACGGAGGGUGCGAGCGUUAAUCGGAAUUACUGGGCGUAAAGCGUGCGUAGG
rnacentral:rRNA from 1 species